GACGAACGCUGGCGGCGUGCUUAACACAUGCAAGUCGAACGGAAAGGCCCUGUUGUUGUGGGGUGCUCGAGUGGCGAACGGGUGAGUAACACGUGAGUAACCUGCCCUUGACUUUGGGAUAACUUCAGGAAACUGGGGCUAAUACCGGAUAGGAGCUCCUGCUGCAUGGUGGGGGUUGGAAAGUUUCGGCGGUUGGGGAUGGACUCGCGGCUUAUCAGCUUGUUGGUGGGGUAGUGGCUUACCAAGGCGUUGACGGGUAGCCGGCCUGAGAGGGUGACCGGCCACAUUGGGACUGAGAUACGGCCCAGACUCCUACGGGAGGCAGCAGUGGGGAAGAUUGCACAAUGGGCGGAAGCCUAAUGCAGCAACGCCGCGUGCGGGAUGACGGCCUUCGGGUUGUAACCCGCUUUCGCCUGUGACGAGGCGUGAGUGACGGUAAUGGGUAAAGAAGCACCGGCUAACUACGUG
rnacentral:rRNA from 1 species